UAGUGUGUCAGUAUGAUAAGAUUCACCGCAGUAAGAACCGGUGGAAGUUCUAUCUGAAGGAUGGGGUGAUGUGUUAUGGAGGAAAGGACUAUGUCUUCUCUAAGGCUGUCGGCGAGGCAGAGUGGUGACUGGGUUUAUGUUAUGUUCCAAUGUCCACACUAGAAUAGUUCACUGAGGCGAAGAGGGGUUUUGUAAAAUACCUCUUGGGAUGCAAUGAUAGUACAUUCUAAGUAGCAUACUAAUGUGAAUAUUGGAACAGAACCUUGGUCUGUAUUUCACCCAUGUGGAUACAGCCUUGACUUAGUCUUAAAUGUGUCCAACGAGGCGCAUAAAACAUGAAUAAUAUCAUUUGAAGUUAAUGGAGAAAACCACAGUUGUUCAGUGAGCUAGAAAAUACAAGCAUCUAUGCAGUUCUAAUCUGAAGAAAAAUGUCUGGACGAGUAAUGUGUCCGUCCCACACGCCAACCUGUUCCCUAUAUAGUGCACUACUUUUCACCAGCCACCACAAUGCACUAAGGGCUUUUUGAGUUGUUAAUUUUGUUUCUGUAACUAUUUAUUUAUAUUUUUGUAUUUGUUGUGUAAUGCCAUUAAAGGCGCACUAAGUUGGUCCAAACGCAGAGCGUAGUCAUUUUUAAUAGUGCUCUCUUUAUUGUUUAUAUGUACCAAAUUCAUUCAUGGUAUGGUUGCCUGGUCUGAAAUAUAAAUUCAAAUACCUUAUUCUGUUUUCACUGACAAUGCAAGCAUUAAUAUGAACCCUGCUGUUGUUUAGUAUUUGAAGGUGAAUGUACAUAUAGAGUAGGAAAAAUGUCACUUCAUAGCUAUUUUCCCAUCCAAUUAGCAACAGAUUUUCAUGUGAASAUUCAAAAAUCCUCUUUAUGAAAUAUGCACAUUUUCCCACCAAUGGGGUUUCCACCACUAUGAUUUGUUGCGGAUAAUAAUCAGUGCGUGAUGACAGUGCACACAAUGUACAUUUCAUGUACKGAAUAAAAAUCUAAAGUUCAA